GUUUCCGUAGUGUAGUGGUUAUCACGUGCGCCUCACACGCGCAAGGUCCCCGGUUCGAUCCCGGGCGGAAACA